rnacentral:rRNA from 1 species
UACGUAGGGUGCAAGCGUUGUCCGGAAUUAUUGGGCGUAAAGAGCUCGUAGGCGGUCUGUCGCGUCUGCUGUGAAAACCCGGGGCUCAAUCCCGGGCUUGCAGUGGAUACGGGCAGACUAGAGUUCGGUAGGGGAGACUGGAAUUCCUGGUGUAGCGGUGAAAUGCGCAGAUAUCAGGAGGAACACCGGUGGCGAAGGCGGGUCUCUGGGCCGAUACUGACGCUGAGGAGCGAAAGCGUGGGGAGCGAACAGG